AAGCCUAAAGUGACUACAAAUAG
rnacentral:siRNA from 1 species